UACGGAGGGGGCCAGCGUUGUUCGGAAUCAUUGGGCGUAAAGGGCGCGUAGGCGGCCACGCAAGUCGGAUGUGAAAUCCCUCGGCUCAACCGAGGAACUGCAUCCGAAACUGCGAGGCUCGAGUCCUGGAGAGGGUAGUGGAAUUCCCAGUGUAGCGGUGAAAUGCGUAGAUACUGGGAGGAACACCGGUGGCGAAGGCGGCUACCUGGACAGGUACUGACGCUGAGGCGCGAAAGCCAGGGGAGCAAA
rnacentral:rRNA from 1 species